GACGAACCGUGCGAACGUUGUUCGGAAUCACUGGGCUUAAAGGGCGCGUAGGCGGGUUCGCAAGUCAGGGGUGAAAUCUUUCAGCUUAACUGGAAAACAGCCCCUGAUACUGCGAGUCUCGAGGGAGGUAGGGGCAUGUGGAACUUCCGGUGGAGCGGUGAAAUGCGUAGAUAUCGGAAGGAACGCCGGUGGCGAAAGCGACGUGCUGGACCGCUUCUGACGCUGAGGCGCGAAAGCUAGGGGAGCAAACGGG
rnacentral:rRNA from 1 species